rnacentral:rRNA from 1 species
AGCGAACGCUGGCGGCGUACCUAACACAUGCAAGUCGAACGGGGAGCUCUUGUGUAGCAAUACAUAGGUGCUCCUAGUGGCGCACGGGUGAGUAACACGUGGGUAACCUACCCUCGAGUC